CCUACGGGAGGCAGCAGUGGGGAAUAUUGCACAAUGGAGGGAACUCUGAUGCAGCGACGCCGCGUGAGUGAAGAAGUAAUUCGUUAUGUAAAGCUCUAUCAGCAGGGAAGAAAGUGACGGUACCUGAAAAAGAAGCUCCGGCUAAAUACGUGCCAGCAGCCGCGGUAAUACGUAUGGAGCAAGCGUUAUCCGGAAUUAUUGGGUGUAAAGGGUGCGUAGACGGGAUAACAAGUUGGUUGUGAAACCCCUCGGCUCAACUGAGGAACUGCAACCAAAACUAUUAUUCUUGAGUGCAGGAGAGGAAA
rnacentral:rRNA from 1 species